AACGAACGCUGGCGGCAUGCCUAACACAUGCAAGUCGAACGAGACCUUCGGGUCUAGUGGCGCACGGGUGCGUAACGCGUGGGAACCUGCCCUUAGGUUCAGAAUAACUCCCCGAAAGGGGUGCCAAUACCGGAUAAUGUCUUCGGACCAAAGAUUUAUCGCCUUUGGAUGGGCCCGCGUUGGAUUAGCUAGUUGGUAGGGUAAAAGCCUACCAAGGCGACGAUCCAUAGCUGGUCUGAGAGGAUGAUCAGCCACACUGGGACUGAGACACGGCCCAGACUCCUACGGGAGGCAGCAGUGGGGAAUAUUGGACAAUGGGCGAAAGCCUGAUCCAGCAAUGCCGCGUGAGUGAUGAAGGCCUUAGGGUUGUAAAGCUCUUUUACCCGGGAUGAUAAUGACAGUACCGGGAGAAUAAGCUCCGGCUAACUCCGUG
rnacentral:rRNA from 1 species